GAUAUGAACCUAUAUGAUUUGUAGUCUAAAUAUAACACAAUCAUUAUUGAGAAAUAUAUAGAAAUCAAAAUAAUAGAUCAUGGAUAUAUACGUUAAGACGAUUAUUACAGAGGCUUGGGUUUAAUGAUGUAUGGUUAAACCAAGGAAUUGGUGAUAUAGAUUUAUUUUUGAAAUUUUUUAAGCAAAGAGUUACUGAUAUUUUUAUACAGGUUGGACCUCAGAAUUAACAGUGUCUACCAGAGCUAGAACCUAUGUGCUAUUUGCAGAUUUCAACAUUGCAACAUUUAAAAUAUGAUAAUAAUGAUAAGUAUAGAAUUGCAAUGUCAGUAAUAAAGAUGUCUGCGCACGGAUUACAGGUAGAGGCUGGCAGAUAUGGAAGGGAAUAUCCGCCAGGACAUUCAUACUGCUAAAUGACAUUGUGAUGUUAUUAACUUGCUUAUGCGUUCUGCAACAUGACAACUGCAUUUUAGUUUCUUACAUUUGAUGUACAAGUAAUUCAUCUUUCUUGCUUCUUAUUGUUAAGGAAACAAUCGUUUCAUGAAUAUCAUUCAUUCUUGCAUGAUAUUGACAAGUGCGUUCAACCUUUUUGUUUGCUUACUGCAAUAUUGAAAUGUUUAUUUAUACUAUUCAUAACUGCAUUCUAUGUUUUUCUUCGCGCCUACUGAAUGUAACGAGCAAUUAACUUCCUUGUGGAUCUUUCGUAUUUCUUAACUUGAUUGUUACUGCCUUUUGGAAUUUACAUUAUUCAUGUUUGCAGCCAUUUUUUUUUUUUUUAUAGAACAGUUUCCCUGAAAAAAAAAUAAACCAACACACACGGCAGUAAUCAAUAUGUAAAUUUGCAGUACAACGAAAAUUUUAUUCUGGUAAGUGCAUUAUAACAUUACAGGGAACCAAUAAAAAUGUCAAAUUCUAGCGCAAAUUACUAUAUACGGGAGACCACUCUCGACAGCAAAUUCAGGUGUUCGGCAGUUUCCGUGGGUUAAACGGUGAGAGAGUCCAAACUUACCCGUCUACUUCCGUACUUGUGUUGUUUUCGUUGGAAAUGAUGAUGCGGGAAGUUUUGUCUUCAAAUGAGUUAUUAUCAACAAACGAAUAGAUCGUUCGAUUGAAAUUACAGAACAUACACUACUACUGACUGACAGGGAUAUAUCCUGUCGGCAAAGGAGCUGGUCAUGGACCUUUGCCGUCCUUUAUCCAGAGCCUUCCACAGCGAUGGCAGAUAUAUCGCUGCUUGGAUCAACACUUGACCACGCCGUUGAGUCCAGGAUCUCAGUGGCAGCCAUGACAACAUCAACAGAAUGACAUCUGCAUACAUUUUGCACCUCUUCCUUGUGCUGUCAGAUUGAAACAUCUCUACUCUGACAGAAUGAAGUGAAUGAAUCCCCAGGAUUGUUCCUCAGGAAAAUCUCUUCAACCGGCUGUUGACAGUUUGCAUGCUCUUUGGAUGGAAUUACCUUAUCUUGGCUUGCAGAGAAUCUGUUAUUUAAAAAAACUGGGCUGCUUUGUGUUAUUGAUUUAUUGACCUUAAAUGUAUUUUAUAUGUAUUUUGCCACUAUUGUAAAAAACAAUGGGCAUAUACACUAGCAUAUGUUUGCAAACAGACACAUUUUAUUUUUGUAAAUAUCUUGAAAAUACAUUUUGUAGGUUGACCUCAGACCAUGAAAGAAUAAUGGUAGGUUAUCUUUGACCAGAACAUGACCAGUAUUGUUUUUGAAGUUUGUUGGUCAAAGGUGAUGGUCAUGGCAAAGAGUAGUUAUUCUGCACAAUGACUCUUAAUUUAUUUGACCUUAUACCAUUGAUAUUUAGUGAUUGAUAUAUCAGUCCAACACAUAUGUAACAGGGUCCUGCUGAAAUUCAGCAAGAGCUUAUUAGCAUUGCAAAUCAUUAUUUGUGCAUGUAACUGUAAAUACUAUUACGCUUUGUGUCAGAAACUUGACCAUCACAAAUUAGGGUCAUUGUUGAUCUUUUCUUGUUUCAUUAUUUUGCAUGUUUUGUCUCAGAAGCAUCCUUCAUUUAAGAUUAAACAAUAGAACAGAUCUCAAUUGUGUGAAAAACUGCUGAAAAUUUUAAUUUUCUUAAAGCGUCUUUAAGUAACUUUUGUAACCAUAAAACAUCAAUUAUCAAUUCAAGGGGGUGAAAGCAAAAAGGUUCUAUCUGCUUCUUUAUUUAAUGUCACUUGGAACCUUUUUGCAUUCGCCCAUGUUAUUGGAAAUUUAAGAAAAAACUAUCUGAUCUUUUGACAGCAGUCAUAUAUAUCACUGUUUUCUAGACAUCUAGCAAAAAAUACCUCAUUCCAAGACAAUUAAGAUGUCAAAUCAGUUGAUCCGGCUGUGAGAGAGCAGCUUAAAACAAAGACUAUAUGAUAUGUUAUGUUUCAGAGUCAAUGUUUUUGUAUAAUUAUAUAAAAAGUUUUGCAUUUACAUGUUAUUAAAUCUGUGUAAUUUAUUCAACUUGCUUAUUAUGUCAAUAUUGUAAAAAGGUUAUAAAAUAGGCUAAAUAUGCACCAUG